CUGACCUUGUGGUGGGGGUGGGGUCACGUCGCCGGGGGCAGGUCCAUGUCAUUCUCAGGAAUACCAGAAAAUCUAGUGUUCCAGGAACGGGUCUCGAGCUACGGGAUCUCUUGUGCCGUGCCUCCAUCUUGGGCACAUGGGGCCCCUUCCCAGAACCUGGUUACUUGAGGUUUCAGAAGUGGGACUCACUGGUGACCCUUACGGAAGAGAAAACGUUGCUCCACGGCCGGCGUGUGUUCGUGCUUUGCUUGGGGAAGGAGCGUGACUGCACGCUUGUGCGUCAGAGGUCAAGGGCCGAUUCUCACAGCAGCUGGGGAGGUGUUUCUUGCUGACCUCAGUGGCUUUCCUGGACUGGUGCACAGAGCCUGUUCCGAGGACACUAACAAGGACCCCUCCGAAUCUAACCCUCUCCACUGUAUUUUACUUGCUUGUGCACACAUCGGGCACUGCUUGCAACCUGCUGAGACGGAGGAGGACCACUCGCUGGUCUUGGCUGGUUGCCCAUCGCUGCCUUACAGUCCAAUCGGGCACAACUCAAGGGGAGCCAAAGGGGCUAAGAAGUCAGAAUCCGGUUGUGACUGGAGAACCCCUCAUCACCAAUUCCCAAAAAGGUCCACUGUUGUGAAACAACAACAUCUAAUAGACCAAAUGAACUCAGUACAUCUAGC